rnacentral:lncRNA from 1 species
CAAAAUUUUUGGGGACACAGAGCUCUUCCUCUAGCGCUAAUCUGAUGUCGUAAGAUCCUAACUGAUUUAAUCACCAAAGGAUCCUAAUCUGGAACAUACUCCAUGGGAUCCAGAACUUUUUUUGCAAGAUUUCUCGUGAACUUCAUCAAACUACACUCAAAGUACUCUAGUUCGGUCCAAGACCAACCUCGCCAUUUAUCCUCCAGAGCCUUGCGACAGCAGAGGAUGAUAAUAGAUCAACAGAGGAAGGAGAAAUUAGGGUUAGAAAGAGGUAGCGCAUGCCUCACCCCC